rnacentral:misc_RNA from 1 species
AAGCUGGAGAUGUCAGACGUUUUCAGUUUCAGGAAUAUCAAAAAAAAAAGAUUAAUUAUUGACAUUAUCUUUGUUCUCCAUAAGUGAUAGACCACAAUCGGCUUUCAGAAACACAGGAUGAAGUAUAAAAAGGAUCAGAUUUUAAAAGCUGGAGAUGUCAGACGUUUUCAGUUUUAGGAAUAAACAAAAAAAAAGUUUAAUUAUUGACUUUAUCUUUGUUCUCCAUAAGUGUCAGAUCACGAUCUGCUUUCAGAAACAUAGGAUGAAGUAUAAAAAGGAUCAGAUUUUAAAAGCUGGAGAUGUCAGACGUUUUCAGUUUUAGGAAUAGACAAAAAAAAAAUUUAAUUAUUGACUUUAUCUUUGUUCUCCAUAAGUGUCAGAUCACGAUUUGCUUUCAGAAACAUAGGAUGAAGUAUAAAAAGGAUCAGAUUUUAAAAGCUGGAGAUGUCAGACGUUUUCAGUUUUCGGAAUAGACAAAAAAAAAAAAGAUUAAUUACUGACUUUACCUUUGUUCUCCAUAAGUGACAGAUCACGAUCUGCUUUCAGAAACAUAGGAUGAAGUAUAAAAAGGAUCAGAUUUUAAAAGCUGGAGAUGUCAGACGUUUUCAGUUU